AGGAGGGAGGCCCGCAGGCUCACGUUGCUCCAGGAGCCGCUGCCGCAAAAACCGCUGUCGCAAAGCUGACGCUGAGCGCGGGUUUGCUUUAUGAUUUUGUCGUAAAACCGGAAAUCUGUGGAUUUGUCAGUGAAAGCAGGUGGGAAGACUGAGAGACCAAGGAGUUAAAUGACUUGUUCAAGGUCACUGAAACAGCACUGGCAGAGUGAGGCUUUGAACUCAGACAUAGUGCUGUAGAGACCACUCUCCAAUGGAAUAUAAGCAGGACACAUAUCUUCAAGGAAAGGACAGAUGGCUCUCUUCCUGGUGCUGUGCAUGCUAGAGAAGCUGGAGAGGAAAUGAAAUAAGCAGCGUGUCCUGCAGCCACCCAAACAUUCCUGCUGGGUCGUGCAGGUUCUUUGCCUUAAGAUCAUCCCUGAGUCGCUCCCUCUGUACUUGCCAAGGACAGACAGUACCCACCACAUUACCAGGACAUGGCAGAAGCAGAUCUGGGAGAGAUGUUUGGGUCAUUUUCAAUAAGAGUCUUCUGAGUGCCCCCUUGGUGAGUGACAGCUUGCACAGACCAUAAUGUUACAGACCAAAGAAUGCUGAGCUCUGAGAUAAGGACUAAUUUAUUCUUCUGGAACCAGCAAGCCAUUACAGCUGCCUUCACAUAGAUGACGAAACCCCGGGCUCUUAGUCCUUAUUCAUGGUUCCUACAUGUCUGUAAACCCACAGUGAAUACCAAGCACUGAUUCCCUUCCCUCUGCCCUCCAAACAGAAACUGGUACCAACCCUCACCCCAAAUGACUCCAUAGCUUCCUUGCUUUUCUACAUGUAACCCUUUCUAUAAAAAGUCCGUAGCCUUUGAUUGAGGUGGAGGAUUUAAGGAUUGACUUCCAGCAUCCUGGUUUAUGCCUUCCAGAUAUUAAUUUCUUUCCAUGCAUCAAACACUGGUGUUCCAUGUUUGAUUUCUGUUGUGUGUUGAGCGCACCAACCAGCUAUCUUCUGCUAUCCACAGCAACAAACUUGCAAUCUGGAAAGUUUUAGUA